rnacentral:rRNA from 1 species
CAAGCCUGAUGCAGCCAUGCCGCGUGUAUGAAGAAGGCCUUCGGGUUGUAAAGUACUUUCAGCAGUGAGGAAGGUGGGUAUGUUAAUAGCAUACUCAUUUGACGUUUAGCUGCAGAAGAAGCACCGGCUAACUCCGUGCCAGCAGCCGCGGUAAUACGGAGGGUGCGAGCGUUUAAUCGGAAUUACUGGGCGUAAAGCGCAUGCAGGUGGUUUGUUAAGUCAGAUGUGAAAGCCCGGGGCUCAACCUCGGAAUUGCAUUUGAAACUGGCAAACUAGAGUACUGUAGAGGGGGUAGAAUUUCAGGUGUAGCGGUGAAAUGCGUAGAGAUCUGAAGGAAUACCCGGUGGCGAAGGCGGCCCCCUGGACAGAUACUGACACUCAGAUGCGAAAGCGUGGGGAGCAAACAGGAUUAGAUACCCUCGUAG